rnacentral:rRNA from 1 species
AUUGAACGCUGGCGGCAGGCCUAACACAUGCAAGUCGAGCGGAAACGAAGAGGUGCUUGCACCUCUGGCGUCGAGCGGCGGACGGGUGAGUAAUGCUUGGGAAUAUGCCUUAUGGUGGGGGACAACAGUUGGAAACGACUGCUAAUACCGCAUAAUGUCUACGGACCAAAGUGGGGGACCUUCGGGCCUCACGCCAUAAGAUUAGCCCAAGUGGGAUUAGCUAGUUGGUGAGGUAAUGGCUCACCAAGGCGACGAUCCCUAGCUGGUUUGAGAGGAUGAUCAGCCACACUGGGACUGAGACACGGCCCAGACUCCUACGGGAGGCAGCAGUGGGGAAUAUUGCACAAUGGGCGCAAGCCUGAUGCAGCCAUGCCGCGUGUGUGAAGAAGGCCUUCGGGUUGUAAAGCACUUUCAGUAAGGAGGAAAGGUUAAGUGUUAAUAGCACUUAGCUGUGACGUUACUUACAGAAGAAGCACCGGCUAACUCCGUGCCAGCAGCCGCGGUAAUACGGAGGGUGCGAGCGUUAAUCGGAAUUACUGGGCGUAAAGCGUACGCAGGCGGUUUGUUAAGCGAGAUGUGAAAGCCCCGGGCUCAACCUGGGAACUGCAUUUCGAACUGGCAAACUAGAGUGUGAUAGAGGGUGGUAGAAUUUCAGGUGUAGCGGUGAAAUGCGUAGAGAUCUGAAGGAAUACCGAUGGCGAAGGCAGCCACCUGGGUCAACACUGACGCUCAUGUACGAAAGCGUGGGGAGCAAACAGG